AGCUUUGCACAGUGGCAGUAUCGUAGCCUAUGAGGUUAAUCCGAGGCGCGAUUAUUGCCAGUUGAAAACUUACCUUAAAGGUCUAUACCCCGCCUUGACCACUUGAAAUACAGUUGUUACGGCAAUUUUUGAUGUCUCUGUGGGGA